GUUUAACCACCGUUGCCCAUACGAUCUCCAAAGUUAAGCAAUGUCGAGCCUGGUCAGUGAAAUGGGUGACCGCUUGGGAAGACCAGGUGCUGUAAG